rnacentral:rRNA from 1 species
GACGAACGCUGGCGGUGUGCCUAAAACAUGCAAGUCGAACGAGAUCUUCGGAUCUAGUGGCGAACGGCGGAGUAAGACAUGAGCAACGUGCCCUGAAGUCUGGGAUAUACAGAGGAAACUCUGGGUAAUACCGGAUGUGUCGCGAGGAGGUCAUCCUUUUCGCGGUAAACGGAUUUAUUCGCUUCAGGAGCGGCUCAUGCCCCAUCAGGUAGUUGGUAGGGUAAUGGCCUACCAAGCCGACGACGGGUAGCGGGUCUGAGAGGAUGAUCCGCCCGAGUGGGACUGAGACACGGCCCACACACCUACGGGUGGCAGCAGUUGGGAAUCUUGCACAAUGGGGGAAACCCUGAUGCAGCGACACCGCGUGGAGGAUGACGGAUCUAGGUCUGUAAACUCCUUUUACCAAGAAAGACUUAGGACGGUACUUGGCGAAUAAGCUCCGGCUAACUACGUG